rnacentral:rRNA from 1 species
AGAACGAACGCUGGCGGCAUGCCUAAUACAUGCAAGUCGAACGAACACUUCGGUGUUAGUGGCGCACGGGUGCGUAACGCGUGGGAAUCUGCCCUUGGGUUCGGAAUAACAGUUGGAAAUGACUGCUAAUACCGGAUGAUAUCGAAAGAUCAAAGAUUUAUCGCCCAGGGAUGAGCCCGCGUAGGAUUAGCUAGUUGGUGAGGUAAAGGCUCACCAAGGCGACGAUCCUUAGCUGGUCUGAGAGGAUGAUCAGCCACACUGGGACUGAGACACGGCCCAGACUCCUACGGAGGCAGCAGUAGGGAAUAUUGGACAAGUGGGCGAAAGCCUGAUCCGAAGCCAAUCGCCGCGUAGAGUGAUGAAGGCCGUUAGGUUGUAAAGUCUCUUCGUACCGAGACUGAUAGUAAAA